rnacentral:misc_RNA from 1 species
UCUCCGUUGGUGAACCAGCGGAGGGAUCAUUACCGAGUUUUUCUACUCCCAAACCUUUGGGACCUUCUACCUUUACUGUUGCUUCGGGGGGUUAACGCCCCGGAAGGCCCAGGAAGCCGCCGGAACCAGGCGCCGGCCGGCGGACACAAACUCUUGUAUUUCUGACUUUACAUGUCUGACUGGAAUCAUUAACAAAUGAAUCAAAACUUUCAACAACGGAUCCCUUGGUUCUGGCAUGGAUAAGAACGCAGC